AGUGAACGCUGGCGGUAGGCCUAACACAUGCAAGUCGAACGGCAGCACAGGAGAGCUUGCCCUCUGGGUGGCGAGUGGCGGACGGGUGAGGAAUACAUCGGAAUCUGCCCAGUCGUGGGGGAUAACGUAGGGAAACUUACGCUAAUACCGCAUACGACCUUCGGGUGAAAGAGGGGGAUCGCAAGACCUCUCGCGAUUGGAUGAGCCGAUGUCGGAUUAGCUAGUUGGCGGGGUAAUGGCCCACCAAGGCGACGAUCCGUAGCUGGUCCGAGAGGAUGAUCAGCCACACUGGAACUGAGACACGGUCCAGACUCCUACGGGAGGCAGCAGUGGGGAAUAUUGGACAAUGGGCGCAAGCCUGAUCCAGCCAUACCGCGUGGGUGAAGAAGGCCUUCGGGUUGUAAAGCCCUUUUGUUGGGAAAGAAAUCUUUCAGGCUAAUACCCUGGGAGGAUGACGGUACCCAAAGAAUAAGCACCGGCUAACUUCGUG
rnacentral:rRNA from 1 species